GAUUAUGAUGUAUCAUCUUUUUAAUGUGUUGUUGGAUUCCUUUUACUAGUAUUUAGUUGAAAAUUUUUGCAUGUAUAUUCAUUAGGAAUACCGGACUAUAGUUUCAUUUUUUUGUUGUGUCCUUGUUUGGUCUUGAUAUCAGGGUUAUCCUGGCCUCAUAGAAUAAGUUAGAAAGAAUGCUCUCUGCUUCAGUUUUUUUUGUUUUGUUUUUUGGAAUAGUUUGAGGAAAAUUCUUCUCUAAAGUUUUCAGUAGAAUUUGAUGGUGAAGCCAUGUGUUCCUGGACUUUUAUUUGUUGGGAGGGCUUUUAUUACUGAUUCAAUCUUGUUACUGGUCUGUUCAGGUUUCCUAUUUCUUCUUGGCUCAAUCUCGGCAGGUUGUAUGUGCCCAGGAAUUUAUCCGUUUCCUCCAGGUUUUGGAAUUUAUUGGCACAUAGUUACUCGUAGUAGUCUCUAAUGAUCCUUUGUAUUUCUGUGGUAUUCACUGUGGUGUCUCAUUUUUCACUUCUGAUUUUAUUUAUUUAUAUCUUCUUUCUCUUUUUUUAAGUCUAGCUAAUGACUUGUCAAUUUUGUUUCUUUUCAAAAAGCCAACCUUGUUGUUUUGUUGAUCUUUUGUAUUUUUGUAGUCUCAAUUUUAUUUCUGCUCGAAUCUUUAUUGUUUCUUUUAUUCUAGUAAUUUUGGAUUUUGCUUGUUAUUGCUUUUCUAGUUUCUUGGAUAUAUCAUUAGGUUGUUUAUUUAAAAUAUUUCUAGUUUUUUGAUGUAGGCACUUAUUGCUAUAAACUUUCCUGUUAGUACCGCUUUUGCUGUAUCCCAUAGGUGUCAGUAUGGUAUGUUCUGUUUCUAUUUCCAUUUGUUUCGAGGAAUUUUAAAAUUUUAUUCUUAAUUUCUUCUUUUACCCAUUGGUCAUUCAGGAGCAUGUUGUUUAAUUUCCACCUAUUUGUGUAGUUUCCAAUGUUCCUCUUGUUAUUAAUGUCUAGUUUUAUUCCAUUGAGGUCAGAUAAAAUAUUUAAUAUAAUUUCAAUUAAAAAAUUUUAAGACUUGUUUUGUGUCCUAGUAUAUGGUCAGUCCUGCAGAAUGUUUUAUAUGCUGAUGGAAAAAGUGUAUUCUUCAGCUGUUGUGUGAAAUGUUCUGUAAAUGUCUCUUAGGCCCAUUUGUUAUAUGAUACAAUUUAAAUCCAAAUUUUUUGGUUGAUUUUCUGUCUAAAUGAUCUGUCCAGUGCUGAGAGUGGAGUGUUGAAGUUCCCAACUGUCUUGUACUGGGGACUAUCUCUUCCUUUAGAUCCAAUAAUACUUGCCUUAUAUCUCUGGGUGUUCUAGUGUUGGAUGCAUAUAUACUUAAAAUUGCUAUAGUCUCUUGCUGAAUCAAUCCCUUUAUUAUUAUAUAAUUUCCUUCUUUGUCUAUUUUUACAGCCUUUGUCUUAAAAUCUGUCUGAUAUAAAUACAGUUACUCCCAUUUAUUUUUGGUUUCCAUGGAAUAUCUUCUUCCAAUCCUUCACUUUCUGUCUAUGUGUGUCUUUACAGAUGAGGCGAGUUUCUUAAAGGCAGUGUAGAGUUGGGUCUUGUUUUUUAAAUUCAUUCAGGCAGUCUAUAUCUUUUUUUUCCUUUUUAAACAAUUUAUUCUUUUAUUUUUAAAAUAGAGACAAGGUCUUACUAUAUUGCCCAGGCUGGUCUGGAACUCUUGGGCUCAAGCAAUCCUUCCACUUUGGCCUCUGAGAAUGCUAGGAUUACAGGCAUGGGCCACCAUGCCAGACCAUCUGUAUAUCUUUUAAAUGGGAAAUUUAAUCUGUUUACAUUCAAGGUUAUUGUUGAUACGUAAGGACUUACUCCUAUCAUUUUAUUGAUUAUUUUCUGGUUGUUUUGUGUAUCCCUUGUUCCUUAUUUCCCCUCUUCUUGUUUAUCUUUGUAGUUGGGCAGUUUUCUGUAUUUAUAAGGUUUGAUUCCAUUCUCUUUCUCUUUUGUGUAUCUGUUUAAACAGUGAGUUUUAUAGUUUUGCAUGUUUUCAUGAUGGUAGUUACUGUCUUUUCACUUCCAGACAUAAGACUUCCUUGAGCAUUUAUUGUAAGGCUGAUCUAGUGGUAAUGAAUUCACGUAGUUUUUGCUUGUCUGUGGAAUCUUUUGUUUCUGAAGAAUAGCUUUGCUGGGUGUUAUAUUCUUGGUUAGCAGUUUUGUUUUAUUACUUUGAUUAUAUCAUGUCACUCUAGUGUAUUAUACCAUGCUCUAUUCUGCCGCAGACUUUAGCAGAGGCUUAAUUCUUUUUUUUUUAAUUGAGAAAGUACCACUGUAUCUCUGGGGUCUUUAUCUGUAAGCACUAGUGAGUUAUGAAUGUUAAAAUGAAAUUAGAGUUACAGCCUUCAUUUUCUUCUGAGAAGUCCAUUAUUAGUCAAAUGUAGAUUUUCUUAUAUGUGACUUGGCAUCUUUUUCUUGCUGUUUUUAAAAUUCUUUCCUGUUUUUGACGUUUGACAACUUGACUAUAAUGUUCUAUGGUGAGGACCUUUUGGAUUGAAUAUAUUUUGGCUUCUUUGAGCUUCUUGAAUCUGGAUGCCCAUCUGUCCCAACACCUGGGAAGCUUUUAGCUAUUAUUUCAUUAAAUAUGUUUUCCUCACCUUUUCCCUUUGCCUUGCCAUCAGGAAUGCCCAUAAUAUGAAUAUUUGUUUGCUUAUUGAUGUCCCGUAAAUCCUGUAGGCUUUUAAAAUUAUUAUUUUUUAUUUUUUGUCUGCCAGUGUUAUUCCAAAACACCUUUAUUCAAGUUUAGAAAUUAUUUCUUCUGCUUGGUUUAGUCUGUUGUUGAAGCUCUCAGUUAUAUUUUUUAUUUCACUCACAGAAUUUUUCUGCUCUAGGAUUUCUGUUUGGUUCUUUUUUAUGAUAUCUAUCUCUUUUCUGAACUUCUCAUUCAAACAUAAAUUGUUUUGUGAUUUCAUUGAAUUGUCUAUCUGUAUUCUAUUUUAUUUCACUCAAUUUCUUUAAGAUCAUUAUUUUGAAUGCUUUUUUCUGGCAUUUCAUAUAUUUCCUUAUGAUUGGGGACUAUUAUUGGAGAAUCAUUGUUUUCCUUUGGAGGUGUCAUAUUUCUUUACUUUUCUAUGCUUGAUGUGUCCCUACGUUAAUUUCUACACAUCUGGUGGAAAAGUUGUUUCUUCACAUUUUAUGGAGUAAGUUUCAUAGGAAAAGACUUAUUCAUGUGAAUGGGUCUUGGGAUGUCAGUUUGGUGAAGGGUGCAUUGACCUUGGUUCUAGGUGGACACAGUAGUGUAGUGUUAGUGAAGUUUCUUUAUCUGUAAUCCACAUUAGUGACAUUUGUGAGUGUCUCAGUGGCUUAGGCUGAGAGAGUUUGUGGUGGCAGUGAUGUGGCUUUGCUGGGUGUGUGCUUCCCAGGUUGCUUCUCAGGUUGGGGUGCAUGUGUGCACAUGGUGGGUCAAUGAACUUGGGGUCUGGCUCAUAGGGCUGUUAUUCUGGCUUGGAGUAUGCUAUCCUUUGAUGCACAAAAAUUUUUAAUUUUGAUAGAGUCUAAUUUACUUUUUUUUCUUUGCUUAUACUUUUGUUGUCCUAGGAAAUCAAAUCCAAGGUCAUAAAGAUUUAUUCCUAUCCUUUCUUCUAAGAAAUUUAUAGUUUUAGCUCUUACAUUUAGAUCAUUGAUCCAUUUUGAGUUAAUGUUUAUGUUAGUCUGUUCAGGCUGCAUGAGAAAAUACCAUAGACUGGGUGACAAGCACCAGAACUUUAUUUCUCACAUUUGUGAAAUCUGGGACAUCUAAAAUCAAGGGGCUAGCAUGGUCAGUUUCUAGCUGGGACUCUCUUCUUGGCCUUCAGACAACUGUCUUCUCACUGUGUCCUCAUAGUGAAGAGAGAGCUCUUUUGUAUCCCCUCCAGUAAAGGCACUAAUCCUAUCAAAGGCCUUAUCCUCAUGAGUUCAUCUAACUCUAAUUGUCUCCCCCAAACCUCAUCUCCAAAUACCAUUACAUUGGUGUUAUAACUUCAAUAUUUGAAUUUUGAGGAGGACAGAAACAUUCGUACUAUGACGAUUCUUGUGUCCUAUUUGAGGUAACGGUCUGACUUCACUGUUAUGUCAUGUGGAUUUCCAGUUGCCCCAGCACCAUUUAUGGAAGAGACUAUUCUUUCCUUAUUGAAUGGUCUUGGCAUCCUUGUUGAAAAUAAAUUUGAUCAUAGAUGUUUGGAUUUAUUUCUGGAUUCAAGAUUUUAUUCCAUUGAUCUAUAUGUCCAUCUUUAUGCUGGUAUCAUACCAUUUUAUUUACUGUAGCUUUAUAGUAAGUUUUUAAACUUGGAAGUGUGAACACUUCAAACUUUGUCUUCAAGCUAAUUUUGGUGAUUUGGGUUCCAUUAUAAUUUCAUAUGAAUUUUAGGAACAGCUUUUCCAUUUCUGCAAAAAAUGGCUAUUGGGAUUUUUAUAUAGAUUGUGUUGAAUCUGUAUGUUGCUUUGAGAAGUAUUGCCAUUCUAACAAUAUGAAGUCUUCCCGUCCAUGAAUAUUGGGGUAUUUUUCCAUUUAUUUAAAUAUUCUUUAAUUUCUUUUGGCAAUGUUUUGUAGUUUCAUUGUACAAGUCUUGCAUCAUCUUUGUUAAAUAUAUUCCUAACUAUUUUAUUCUUUUUGCUGCUACUAUAAAUGGAAUUGUUUUCUUUUCUUUUUUUUUUUUUUUGAGAUGGAGUCUUGCUCUGUCGCCCAGGCUGGAGUGCAGUGGCAUGAUCUUGGCUCACUGCAAGCUCCACCUCUUGGGUUCAUGCCAUUCUCCUGCCUCAGCCUCCCUAGUAGCUAGGACUACAGGUGCCUGCCACCAUGCCCAGCUAAUUUUUUUUUUUUUUUGUAUUUUUAGUAGAGAUGGUGUUUCACCAUGUUAGCCAGGAUGGUCUUGAUCUCCUGACCUCAUGAUCUGCCCACCUCGGCCUCCCAAAGUUCUGGGAUUACAGGUGUGAGCCACCACGCCCGGCCUGCUUUCUUAAUUUCUUUUUUGGAUUGUUCAUUGCCAGUGUACAAAAACUUGUACUUUAAAGAAGGUUUUGGAUGCACAAGAAAAGAUGUGUGAAUGAACAUUUGUUAAUAUAUUUUAGUUAAAAUAAAAGUUUAAGUAAAUAUAAUGUUUAAUGAGUAUCUUCUCUAAAUCUAAUGAGUAUCUGAUUCUCAAUUAGCCAAUCAACUACCCUAGUUGAUCACAUUUGAGAAGUCUAUUAUAUAUUUUAAUAAUUAUGAGUAUCUGAUUCUCUAUUAACCAAUCAACUACCCUAAUUGAUCACAUUUGAGAAGUCUAUAUUUUAAUAAUUUGCAGUUUCAUAAUACAUUUAUAUAUUUCAAAAAUAUAACCAACAUAUUAGUUAGAAAUAUUAUAUUUGUUACUAUUGAUAUGAUUUGACAAUCAAAACUUUACUGGGUUAAAUAAUAUUUACUUAGCUAAGAACUCACAAAGAUGAAUGACGGGAAACAACCUUUACCUGGAAUUUACUGCUUUUGGUAUUCAAAUAAGAUAUGUUUCAAGUAUUAACUGUGGUCUUCUCUUCCCUCGCAGGCUUGGAAAAGCACCAGAUAGGAAGGGAAGAAGCUCAGGAUCUGGGUUUAGGUUCUAACUCUGAACUUACCAUCUAUAUGAUGUCAGCUAAGUAGACCAUUUUGUGAUUCUGAGCUUCAGUUUUUCUCAUCCACUAAAUGGGGAAAAAAAACUGCUUUACAGAGUUCUAAGGAUUAAAUGGGACAUCUUCUAUGAAAAUGCCUGGUACAAGGGAGGCCCUCAAGAAGGUCUGUCAUCCCUUACACUGAAUCAGGACUGGCGUAGUGUGACCUGUGGAAUACAGUAGAAGUAAAGAUGUGUGACUCCCAAAGCUUGGUCAUAUAAGGCAUUGCAGCUUCAGCCUUGCUCUCUUGGAUCACUUACCCUGGAGAAAGUCAUCUCCCAUGCUCUGAGGAUACUCAAGCAACUCUGUGGAGUGUUCCACAUGGAGAGGAAGUGCCGAAGACCCGCACCAACUGGCCAAAAAAGUGAGUGGGUGACCUUGGAAGCAGAUCUUCCAGCCCUACUAAAGCCUUCGGUUAACUGCAACCUCAAGAGAGACCCUGAGCCUGGAUGGCUCAACUGAUCAGCUUCUGAAUUCCUGAUUUACAGAAGCUAUGAGAAAUAAAAAGUGAUUACUAUUGUUUUAAGCUACAAAAUUUGGGGAUAAUUUGUUACAUAGCUAUACUAACUGGAACACAGAGAUUUCUUCAAAUUUUCAAAAAUUUUUUUACUCUCAGUGAUGUUCAUUGUCUUGGAAUGAGAAUGGGAAACAUAGAGGUGGGAGAUAGAAAUUUAAUGGCUUAGCCAGCCAAAUGAACCACAUCAACUCUGCCCAUUGGUGGGGAGACAGAUAUUUCAGUCAUAUUGUCCAUCAUAUAUCCCUACUUUUUGUGGCCUUGCAAAAUAACUAAUAACCGUAAAGCUGUAUCAUCACAAUGCAAUAAUAAUAGGUUAUUUCAGUAAAAAGUAUGUCAAAUUAAAUGUUAGAAGUAUGUCAACA